AUGGAACAAUCGAAGAAAGAGUUCUUGCCUGUGUUACAAGGUGUGAAAUUGAGUAAGACUCAAAACCCGACCACGGCACAAGAUAGAAAGAGAAUGAAAUUCAUUCCCUAUGCCUCAGCCAUAGGUUCUAUAAAGUAUGCCAUGCUGUGUACCAGAUCUAUUGUAUACCCUACACUGCUUUUAGCAAGGGAAUACAAUAGUGAUCUAGGAGUAGAUCACUGGACAACGGUCAAAAUUAUCCUUAGGGGAAUAAGGAUAUGUUUCUCGAUUAUGGAGGUGACAAAAAGGUUCGUCGUAAAGGGUUACGUCGAUGCAAGUUUUGACAUUAAUCUAGAUAACUCUAAGUCUCGGUCUAGAUACAUAUUGAAAGUGGGAGCAAUUAGCUAG
rnacentral:rRNA from 1 species